rnacentral:tRNA from 1 species
AAGAUUCUAGUAAAAUAUAUUACACUGCUUUGUCAGGGCAGAAUUGCGAGUUUAAACCUCGCGUAUCUUA